GAUGAACGCUGGCGGCGUGCCUAAUACAUGCAAGUCGAGCGAACAGACGAGGAGCUUGCUCCUCUGACGUUAGCGGCGGACGGGUGAGUAACACGUGGAUAACCUACCUAUAAGACUGGGAUAACUUCGGGAAACCGGAGCUAAUACCGGAUAAUAUAUUGAACCGCAUGGUUCAAUAGUAAAAGACGGUUUUGCUGUCACUUAUAGAUGGAUCCGCGCCGCAUUAGCUAGUUGGUAAGGUAACGGCUUACCAAGGCAACGAUGCGUAGCCGACCUGAGAGGGUGAUCGGCCACACUGGAACUGAGACACGGUCCAGACUCCUACGGGAGGCAGCAGUAGGGAAUCUUCAGCAAUAGGCGAAGGCCUGACGGAGCAACGACGCGUGAGUGAUGAAGGUCUUCGGAUCGUAAAACUCUGUUAUUAGGGAAGAACAAAUGUGUAAGUAACUAUGCACGUAUUGACGGUACCUAAUCAGAAAGCCACGGCUAACUACGUG
rnacentral:rRNA from 1 species